UGUGUGGAAAUGAACUCUUGUCAGAGUUUCAAAGGAAUUAAUAUAUAUAUAUAUAUAUAUAUAUAUAUUUUUGGUAAAAUGUGCUAAUGUAAAGAAUUAGAAGAUUAGUGAUGUUUAAUUUAAUAGAAUGCAUUCUUUCUCAUGGAAAUGGGAAUAUAAUAAGUGUCCUGUAGGUGAUUGGGUUGUAGCAAUUUUAUUGAAGAUUAAAGUUUGAUUGACCUUUGUUAGGGUGAUUAACCUUUCAGAAAUUAAAAGCCAGAUUGGAAUUAGUCUGUCCAAUUUAAAUGCAAA
rnacentral:lncRNA from 1 species